UGGGCCUGGGCCUUGGGGGUGGAACCUACGUCGCUUUCCCUUCACAUAUUGCCCUCUCGGAGCUUGGCGUGCUCCGUGGAGUCAACACGGGGGGAUAGAACAGCUCGUUCUCACUAAAACCCAGUGCGGAGCCCUCCUCUCUGCCCUGUAUCCUGUCGUGAGACACAAAUGGCCCGUCCCUCUUUUCCCCCCAGCUCGGUCCCCUCCCUGCCCGGCUGAUACCUCUCUCCUUCCGCAGUGUGUCCCGAGGCACCGGCGAGCUCUUCAGAUGCUCCCGAUGGGCAGGGGGAAGCGCUGGCGGUCUGCACUCCCGCCUUUGGACGCCUAUGGGUGAGGGGCACAGCCAGCUCAUCGCUCCUCUUACAGCCUGGGGCCGAGGCCUCACAUAGCAACCUCAUGCCUGAAAUGUUUUAGACAUGGGUGAUCGCACCUAAAUGUGAAGCAAUGCUCAGGAUUUCUUAGGAAUAAAUAAUGCCUUCUACUGGAAGGGAUGAAAACAACAUGUGCCAGGAGCUGAUGUUAAACAGCAGUUUAUGAUUUCCUGAGUGGGUGAUUUCUGACUUGGUAUGGGAUGACUCCAAUUGUCACCACUAAGUCUAAAUAUUGUCUUGGAAGUAGAAUUGGGACAAGUGAUGGCUAAAAUUAUGUCUUCGAUGAUCAUGUUGAAACAGGCAUCUCACUGUUUGUUGAAAAAGGUUUCCUAACAAAAACUGCUGUAAUUUGAUUGUGUUUGUGGAUUGAUUGAAAUAAACUGAGUAUUAAUUGAAAUAAAAUAUGAGUAUGCUACCAAAAGUUUGUGUUCUGUAUG